rnacentral:lncRNA from 1 species
AGACUCUUCAACAUCAUCCUCAACCCAAGAAAGAACGUGUCUCUCGAAACCAAACUAUACUGCGUCCCCGCGUCGAGCACGGAUUGCAGCAACCUAAGUCCACUCCAGGUGAUAAACACCGUCAAUAGCUUCACCUGCACAUCCCUGCUCUCCAAUGCCUGCCAGGGGUACUUCUUCUCCUCCCAAGCGAUGAUUAUCAUCGCCUGAAGCAAGAGAAUCAACAAAACCCAGAGCCUAUCGAAGCUACGGAAGACAUUCCAAAACGACCUCUGCUCCACAAACCCCGUCUUCCCCACCCUCUCACUCUUUCUUGCAGUUGCAAAGUAAUUGCAACUCAAAUCCAACGGCCAUUUCAGCGUCUUGAAACAUCUCCUUCUCCAAAAGUAUUCAUUCAGAUCAUCGUAAUUCCGCCAAGCGGAAUGCGGGGCGCUCCCGUUCCUACUGUCCUCAACCUCAGUCUGAAUGGUCUGAUAAAUGGGCAUCACGACGGACUUCAAGAAGGCAUUUUUGCCGGUGAACGAGGGCAAGUACGGCCUGCCCGUGAGCCUAUCAAUCCUUUCCUCAAGAAAGGAGUUCAAUUCAUCGGCCAUAUGGUGAAACACAUAGCAAAUGCACUCGGGCAUGAAACCGCAAGUUCGCGGACUCGCCCCAGAUGAGCAGAUAGAGAGCCACGUACAGCAAUUCGCGGCGGAGGGUCGUGAUGCGGGAGCCCGAGGAGAGCCCGAGGAGUCUGUGGCGCUUGAAGAGGUAGGAGCACCAGAGGGUGUAGUUGCGGAGGAGCUUCUUGCGGAAGGAGCGGACGACGUUGAGGUCGAGGGCGUCGGCGUUAUCCGGCGGCGCGUUGAGGCGCAUUUGGGCGUUGGCGAGGUGGAGGACCAGGUGCUCCCGCUGGUUGCGGACGUUGUCGGCCUGGAAGCCGAAGAGGGCGGCCAGCCAGUCGAGGAGGUCGGGGCGGGCGCCGGCGGACCAGUCGGGGAAGGGCGGCGGGCGGAGGUCGUCGACGAUUAGGAGGGCGGCGGAGACGGCGCGCACAUCCGGGAACCGGAGGGAGGGGUGGUCGAUGACGGGGCUGUGGAUGGGGAUGAUGUUGUAGACCCCCUCCCGCGACGGCGGCGGCGGCGGCGGCGGCGGCGCGUAGCGGGGCACGCGCCCGCCCGUUGGCUGGGGACGCUGGCGUACGUUCAUGGAGGGUUGGGUCGGCCACGCGCUUUGCUCAGUUAUUGAGUUCGUCCGUUGCCAUCAUCAUCAUCAAUGGCAGUGGCGAUGCAGAAGCUGCUGUUGCUACUUGCUGCCGAGAAAGUGAAAAAGUUUUUUCAGUUUCAAACUUUCAAGAGAGAGUAUUAUUAUCUAAAUUAUUAAUUGCAUGCAUGCUUUGGAAAAUGAAAAAUAUUUUAUCUUUUUUUUUUACCGUUUUUUUCUUUCGACAAGAAAUCCAAGACAAGACAAAAAAGAAAAGCGACAACCCACCUUUUUGUACUCGAAAGUGCUUGUGGGGCUUGCAACUUCAUUUUUUUUUCACUUUUUUGGGUCUUGGUAAGUCCAGAAAAUCGAGUCAGUACAAAUUUCUUGACCCAAGUAGCUUUUUUUUUUUUUCUUUUUGGGGUGUAAAGAAGUGGGAGAGGAUCCCACCCGCGACGAUAAGAUAAUUUGCGCCUCGCCCCUCAACCAGCAUAGAAGAUGUUCAAAACUUCUUAUCCCCAUUGUACGACUCACUUGCGACCCGUGAGAGGUGUGUCCCUAUGAGUCACCUCGGGUUUACGCCACCGGCUACCUAUUAUUCAAAGGUUCUCAGGUCACCAAAAAAAAAGUGAGAGAGGAAAUAGUGCAUGAGCUACGAAAACAAUUUGCAAUUUGAAACUAUUCCUUACAAAAUUUCAAACUUUCAUUUAUUUCUUUUGGGUUUAAUAUCAUUAAAAAAUCCCUAACCAAUACCUUUCUAACAAAUCUAUCUCAAAUAAAGUUUUUAAUCAUGAAAACUCUACGUCAUUACAAAUUUACCUCCAAUUAUUUUUGUGGCGACUAAUACCUUCAAAUUGAUAUAUCUAUCAUAAAAAAUUACCCUUCGUUAGUUUUCAUUAAAUUUUACCAUUAAAUCAUUGAAUUAAAUGACACAUGAUAAUUAAUAAAUAUACUAAUUUGGAUUUUACCCUUCAUUUAUUAUAAAUGUACCAAUUUUGUAAUUUUUCUUAGUAUCAAUCUAGUUUAAUAGAUAGCAUAUCGAUUAGAAAUGUACCAAUUUGGGUUUUUACAAUCAAAAAAAUAAUUUUUAGUAAAUUUAUCACAAAUGUAUUAGUUUGAAAUUUUUUAUGGUCAAAAAAGUAAUUUAUAAUAAAUUUAUCACAUGUGCCCCAAUUUAAAGUUUUCGUGAUAUUAAGCCAUUUCAUUUUCAUCCCUAGCUCUUCUUCUCAUUUUUCUCGAACAAAGCAUCAAUACUAUUUAGUGAGAGGAUCAGAAUGAACUACCAUAAAUAAAUCAUUAUCUAUGCAUUUCAGGAACAAGAUUGCAGUAUAAAUUAUAAUGAUCGCCAGCCUUUCGCCCUCUUUCUUUUUUAUUCUCAUUGGUCGAAAAGCUUUUUCACCUUUUUUUCACUCGAAAAAAAAAAAAAAAAAACCUGCGGCACUUCACUUGACCGGAUAACGCACGCAAGCGAUGCCUGAAGAGUUGAAUAACGUCCCGUGUGUCUUCUUUUUCCUCCUUUUUUAACUUAUUAUUCCUCUCUUUUCAAGCGAUCAUGUGGGCGACGCGCCGCCAGGAGAGAGUGAAGUCCACGCGCCGAUAGAUUAAACGGGAAGUGGCGCUCGCGUGCGCUCUUGCCAGUCGCUGAAGUGUACCAUCGGGAAUAAACGAAGAGAUACAGCAAAUUAAUUAAUUAAUUAAUUAAUUACAAUUUCAAUAAAAGACUUUCUUAUCUAUUUUUUGUGUUGAAAUAUUCAUGUCUAUUGAGAAUACAUUUAAUAAUCAUUCUAUUUUUAGAAUAAUUUUUACUCAUAAAUAAUUUUAUAUUUUAUUUUUUAGAAUAAUUUAUGAACAUUUGAAGAUAUUUAGUAAAAUCCUUAAAAUUUCCAAUACAAAUUAUUUUCUUUUAAUUUUUCAAUAAGUUUAUUAAAAUGUUCUCGUUUUUUCCUUUCUUUCUCCCUUUUCAUCUUCUCAUUUCUCUAUGACCGAUGACCACAUUAAAGCAUAGCUGGACCCUAACAACCCGAGUCACGAUGAAACUACCUCACCUAGUCCAGGCAAGGCCAAGGCUCACCAAGCCAUAGCGAGGCUCGUCGAUUUAAGCCUUGCUAUGGCUCGGCAUCACCAACUCUUGUCUAACUGGUCAUCGGCCAUGACCAAGGCCGAUAGGCCAACGGCAACUAGUCAAAAGGAGGAAGAACAAGAACAAGAACGAGAAGAUAAAACAAGAAAAAUUAGACUUGAUUCUAGAAUUAUUCCCGAAAAUAAGAAGUAAUUUUUUAUUCUUUAUUUUAUUUCAAAUCUAUUUUCGCAAAUUAAAAAAACGAAUUUUUGUUCUUGAGAACAAAAAAUUUACCAAACGAAUUUUUUUUAUUUCGAAAAAUAAAAUAAUAAAAUUAGACACUAUCUGGAGUAUUACCAUUUAUCAACCAUAAAUACGAUGGACCACUAUGCAACAUACAGUGGUUGUGGACAGAAGCACAAGCUCUUUUCCCGAGAAAUAGUAACUGUCUCUUUUCCAUAUCAAGAUCAAAUUCUCCCCCCCCCCCCCCCACCCAAAAAAAAAAAAAAACGAAGAUGAUAAAUUUUUGCACCCACAAUAAACUCAACCAACUAAAAAUCAAAUGGUCGGACCUUACGGAGAUGGUAAGGCGAGCUUGCGAGGAGGGCGGUCUGGUCUUUCGAUGUUGGGGAUUUUGUUUAGAGGCACGAGAGCUGCUUCUUAGAACAAGAAUAGAAAUCUAUAAGUGGUUGGUGGGUUAGACUAGACUACUAUUUUUCAUAAUCUAAAGUGAGGAUGAGACUUUGAAGGUAUGUGGGGCCACUAUUUUUCCUAAUGUGCCAUAUCUAGAAACUUUCAAGAACACAUAUUCACAUGUAUAUCGCACGCGAAAUUUUAUCAUAAUUUCUCGGAAAAGAACCUUCGGUGAAAUAAAUAAAAAUUGACAUAAAGCAACACAAUUACAAACAAGUAACGAAUAUAAUUAUUUUUAAAUUCGUAAUGUUACAAUGAUUAUAAUUACAAACAAGUAAUGGAUUUUUUUUUUUUACCUUUUUCUAUUUUUGCCGGUUCCCAAUUUUAUGUGAUUCACUUGCUUAGGGUUUGUUCAUCAUUCUUCGAUUAUCCAAUUAUCGUCUACUCAAUUAUCGAAGUCACACGAGCCUAUGUUUCAAAAGGGACUUCAAAAGAAUGCACAAUUGCGAUAAUUCAAAGGACACCUAAAGUGAGGUGAGGAAGACGAGUAAGCUGUUAAGGAACAUUAUAAGAAAAAAGAACGUUAUUUACAAUUAAAUUGAUGAAAGACAUUACUUAUUUUCACAUGCAAUUAUUGGGAUUUUAAAUUAUUUAAUUGCAUGCAUGCCUAGGAAAUGGAAAAUAUUUUUUUUUUCUCUACCGUUCUUUCUUUCGAUACGAAAUCCCAAGUAAAAACAAAAAAGGAAACGCGAAAACCCACUUUUGGACUUGAAAGUGCUCGUGGGACUAGCAACUUCAUUUUUCCUUUUUCUGAUUUUUUAUCUUUUUUGGGGGGCUUUGCUAGGUGCAAAAAAAUUUAGUCGCUUGAAAUUUCUUGACUAAGUAGCUUUUUUUCUUUGGGUGUAAAGUAGAGGGAAAAGAAAUAGUGAAUGAGCUACGAAAACAAUUUUGAGUUUGAAAUUUUUUCUUACAAAAAUCUCAAAAUUUUAUCUUUUCUUUUUUCGUUCCUCGCUCUACUUCCCCUUUUUUCUCAAACAAAGUCUUGAUCUAAUGAUAAAUCGUCAAUCAUACUUUCAAUAGAUAUACAUCUCGAUCGUCAAGCAUCACUUAACAUUUUCUUCUUGUGCAAACGCUUCUUAUUAGGGUAUUUACUCUAUAUCAUUUGAUGAGGUGAUAUGAAUGAACUAUCAUAAAUAAAUCGUUAUCUACAAGCUUUAAGAAUAAGACCGCAGAUGCCAUGAUAGUGAAUUAUCACAUUUAAUAAUUACUAUUUGCUCUGAGAAUCAACUAACAACAACUUCUAUUUAAACACAAGAAAAAUAUGAAACAUUAACAAAAUAAAAAUCUCAAUCAUACUAAUGAUUCUAAAUUAUACACUCAAUAAAAAUAUAAAAUACUUAUUUUAUAUUCCACGUUUUAAGUUAUAAAUCUCACUUAUUUAGACCUAGAUACUACUCAUCGAAAUAGCUUUAUCGAUUUUUGGAAUUUGAAACUUACUUUGCAUACAUUAAAACCUAUAAACAGACCAAUCGAAUAAAUUUUCAUCGAUCCGACUUUUUGAUUCUUGAUUUUACCAUGAAACUAUAUUCACUCCAAACGGAUCAACGAUGUAGAGAUAUCUCGCCGCCAUUAGCAUCUCCAUAAAACUAUAAUAAUAGGCUCGUCGGUCUUAUACUUUCAAAUUAUAGUGGUACUUAAACCGACACAUGUCCAGUAUGGAAAUAUUUUAUAGCUGUUAUCAUCUCAAUCGAGUUGUAGCAAGAAGCUUAUCGGUACGACACUUUUGAAAUGUGGCGGCGGCGGAAUAGUCAUAACUCGAUCGCGACGGUGGCGUAAGCUAAUCUAAUCGCCAACCCUUCGCCCUCCCUUUUUUUGAAAUUUGACCUUUUUGGUCGAAAAGCAUUUUCACCCCCUUUGGCUUGUGGGGAAGAAAACCUGCGGGCGCUUGGGUUGUCCGGAUAACGCACGCAAGCGAUGCUUGAAGUGUUGAAAAACGCCCCCGUGUCUCUUCUUUUUCCUCUUCUCUUAAAUUAUCAUUGCUCCCUUUUCGUGCGGUCGUGUCGGCCACGCGCCGCCGUGGGCGAGUGAGGUCCACGCGCCAAUGGGAUAUACGGAAAGUGGCGCUCCCGUGGGGUCUCGCCAGUCGCUGUCGUGCACCAUCUGGGAAAAAAGCGAACAGAUACAGCAAAUUAAUUAAUCAAUUAAAAAUCUAAAUUAAAAAUAUAUAUUCUUGUCUAAUUGCCAACUCCGGAUACGACGGCGUUGCCGCUCGCUGCCACCGUGUAACGUACGGCAGUCGUGGACAUUAGCGCCAGCUCUUUUCGCAGGCAGGAAAUACUAUUUUUUUUCCUCUCACCUUAUCGAGAUCGGAAAUUCUCACACCAAAAAAAAAAAAAAUCGAAACUAAUGAAAAUUCAAAUCGUCGAAUGUUAUGAUUCAAAUUCUCAUUUUCUCAAUAGAUGAAACGAAGGGAUGAAACAAAGAGGAUUUAAAAGUUAGAGCAGGACUGAUAAAAAAAGACACGAGAAGAAGUUUGAUGAUGAAUUAAAAGUUAAGAGUAGGACUUCUUAAAAAAAAAAAAUUGGAAAAUCAUAGAAUGAGUUUACAAGGAGGGCGGUUUGGUCUUUUGAUGGUGGGGAUUUUUGUUAGGAGGUAUGUGAACUGCUUUUUUUUCUAUAAAAUAAGUAGAAGUCCGUAAAUAGUUGAUAUGUUAGACUAGACGUGUGACGCAAGUUUGCAAUAUUUUCCAUAAUCUAAAGUAAGCAUGAGACUCCAAAGCUAUGUGGGGUCAUUAUUACACAAUCCGAACUCAAUGUGUGUACACUAUUGAAUCACGUGAGUUUCGCAUGGAAUCCACCUAAUCAAUCGAUUCUUUUGAAUUGAGCUUGCAUGUAUUGGGAUCGUGCUAGGAAAUUUUUCUCAUUUGUAAGUCUCUCGCGAUAUUGUUUGUAGUUCUAAUUAUUUUAUUUUUUUCGUAGCUUACCAUGAUUUGACUUAUUUAAUGUGCUAUAUCUAGAAACUUUCAAAAACACAUAUCAACAUGUAUAUUGCAUGCAAAAUUUUAUCAUAUUUCUCAUGAAAGAACCUUUGGUGGUAAAAAUAAAAAUUGACAGAAAGCAACAAAUUACAAAAAUGGAAAUAAUUAUUUUAAAUUCAUAAUGUUAUGAUGAUUAUAAUUUCAAAUAGGUAAUGGAUUUUUCUUCUUUUUUAUUUUUUUUUUAUUUUUGCUCGUUCCCAUUUUUAUGUGGUUCAUUUGCUUAGGGUUUGUUCAUCAUUCUUCAAUUAUCCGAUUAAUGUCCACCAAAUUAUCGAAGUCACAAAAGCCUAUGCUUCAAAAGUGGUUUCAAGAGAAUGCGUAAAUGUGAUAAUUCGAAACAAUACCUAAAAUGAGAAGAGGAAGAUGAGUGGGUUGUUAAGGAACAUUAUCAAAAAAAAAAAAAAAAUAGAACUUUAUUUACGAUUAAAUUAAUGAAAGACAUUACUUAUUUUCAAAUGCAAUUAUUGUAAUUUUAAAAGGGCUUUAGGUAUUCCUGUUACACAAAAAUCAAAAUACAAAACGUGGAAACGAGGGUCACCUAGAAAAAUCCAAUGGUACUAUUUUUUUCCUCCCCCUAAAUAGUGAUAUUCGUGCAUCACUUGCAACAUGCAGGUGUUAAGUACUAAUCCUGACAUAAUUACAAUUCCGGCAAAUGGAGGAGUGCCACGUGGCACCCGCAUCUGCCGUUCCUUUUUUCCUCCAUUUUAGGUCAACCAAGCAAUCACUGAGCAUUGCUCAAAAAAAAAAAGCAAGCACUGCAGCUGAGCUGGCCAAUUGUACGUUGCACAGAAUAAAUUUUUCUAAAUUAAAACAAUAAAAAAUUUCAAAUUAUGCAUAUUUUGACAUAAAUAUUUCGAACGCCGAACUUUUUUGGGUUUCAUAAAAAAGUUUAAAUUUAUAUCAACAUGAUAAAUAUACCAAAUGAAAAUGACAUAAAGGGCUAGUUUUUUUUGCAAAAAAAAAAAUAUAAUUGUGCCAUAGUAAGUGUAAUUUGAGGUGUUUGGCGGCAUUUUUUUUUUUUUUUUUAUAUUUGUGAUGGUAUAGUUUAUCUGAUGGAAUAUUUUAUCUUUCUAAUAAUGAUGUGGUCCCCACCACGAUAUUUUUUCAAAAGCAACAACGGAUCUAUCUGCUGCAAACUGGAGAAGGAAAAAUGGACGGGCGUGAUGCGCCCAUUUGAAACGUGGCCACGGAUGGGGCCCACUCCUGGUGUUUUUUUUAAAGGCUGCUUUAUGCCUUUAUGCGCUCUCUCUUUUUUAUUCAUUUUUUUUUUUUUUUCAUAUUUUGGAGAAUAUUGUGGAGAUGGGGGGGACUGACAGAAUCUUUGCUUGGAUUUGUCCUCUCUAGGUCAGAUUCGCAAUUCUCAAAUUGAGAUCUAAGGUAAAGCAGAUCGUCUUUUUGAUUACGCCCUUGUCUUACUUAUAACGUUAACCCCCCGUGAAAAAGCCAACCUUUUUGCACACACUAGUCUCAUCUCAUGUCACAUUAUUUCAUGGAAGCAAAAGGUAUCUUAAGAAAAACUGCAACACUCAUUCUCAGACUUUUGUCCUACCUCCUUGCAGGACGUGGGAGUCGAAAUCCACUCCGGAAAUGAAAUCGUCCCCACCGCAAUCCCCCCCUGAGAAGGUGGGGAUUUGAAUCCCUCACCUCCCCCUUCCAAGUUGGAAUAGUGGCCACUGAGGCGAACCCCCAGUGGUUAAUCGUGCCCAACUUGAAAUGUAGAUUGAUCGAACAUUUUUUUUUCUGAUUAGAUUUGAAUUGGGUCCAUGAAAUCUAUUAACUAGACAAAUCCAAUGCAUACUUUCAAUGCGUUUAAUUUUUUUACCUAAAGAAUUUUACAGUGUUGGCUUGGGCAAAUGGUUGGAGUGGGCCAUCAGCCCACCAAAAACAAGCCCUAGAAAACUUCCAUCUAUUUCACUAAUUCAUUGGUGUAAUUUUUUUUUUAUUGGUUCCACUCUUUUUCUAAUUUAACUCUAGCUCUUAAGCUUUUAAUCUACCUCAUUGUAGGGCAUAAAAAUCGAAACUCACAUCUGAAGUCAAGUUGUCCCCAUUUCAACCCCUUGGGAGAAUGUAGGAAUUCAUUGGUAUAAUUCGGUUGCUUGAUUUGUGCCCAUUUCAUAAUCCAAUGAGAAGUUUUACAUCCCAUGAAAAAUAUGAAUUUGUAGCUUUGAGGAAUAAAAUUGUUCCAACUACCAUAAGCAUGAGGCAUUCAAAUAAACAUCUACUUGAUUUGAUCUACUCUCUUUUUGCAUACCCAUAUAAACGAGUCUUGAGUUAUACUGAGCUCACUACAGUCGCUGAUUUUUCCCUUUUUUCUUACCCUAUACUUCAUUGAACAAAAUUCGUCUAAGACAUACCUUAGAAUACAUCACCACAAGUAUACAUCAAUUGGCAUCAUCGACAUGUGUAGUAAAAUUAUAGUAAGAGAUUACUCCAUUAAUGCAUACAAUACAUGAUCGAUCCUCACUCAUAUAUGUUACGUGCCCCACAAGGUAACAUCAAAAGCAAAGUAUACAUUAUAUGUUAUGCAAAAAUUCACUUGCUAAUAGUUGAUAUCACAAGAGCCUAAGGUUUGAGGGUGAAGAAAAAAUGGAGGGAGCAUAAAAGGAUGAUUAGGUAAAUCACUGCCACAACAAAAUUGGUGAUGAGAGGGCGGUGACAGAACUUGGAGACUUGCCCACAAAUUGGUAACCUAACUACGUGGUUGUUCCGGGGGGAGAUAUAUAUAUAUAGUAGCAAAGAUAAUGUCACGAAAUUUAUUUAGAACGGGAACGAAAUGUGUGAAAUGGUUGUUUGUUUAUGAUUGAUCAAAGCAUAAAUUUGACGGCAUCGCAAGUUGACAUGAUCAUCGCCAUAAAUAGAUAUCGCAAGCCCAAUGUAAACCUGGCUCGUUUGAGCCAACUAAUUUAAUUUGUCAAAUUGUGAAAGACCCACAACAACGAAAUCUACUCGAUCAAAUGGUUUUCGGUGGAUUGGGCUUCACAUGAGCUAAACUUGGGUGAGCAAUUAUACAUGCACAAAGUGAUGGAAUCAGCUUAUUACGAUACAAAAUACGGUGAAAUAUUUGCCACGUUUUAAUGGAAAAUGAGUAGUCUCGAUUGAUCAAUAGGCUAAUUCAUAAAACGAUAGGCAAGAUUUGCCUGCAAUAGACAUUAUUCAAGAGGAUUAAAUUAUCACUCUGUCACUAAAUUAUGAUUGAUUAUAUCUAUCACAUAGGUAUGGGCGGAAAAAAAGUCUUAAAAAUAGGAAUUUUUCUUGAACAAGAUUCAUUUGUUUUACCUAAUUUUCGAAAAUCAACCAUCACAUCGACCUUCCAACCUUUCUUGUAAAUUUAUUUCUCAAUAAAAUGAGGAAAAUGAACAAAUGAUUUUUAAACCUUUUGGCAUUUUCGUACAAACCGUCUAGAUGUUGUUGAUUACUUGUGGACUUUCUAGAGCAAAGCCAUCAUUUCAAAAGCUCUCUCAUCCACUACAUUUUCUAACCUUCCACGUCAUUUGUCCGCAAAUAGCAGCAACCUACAUACUCAGCGUCAAAGCAUGCACGAGGGUUCAACAUUAUCAAUGAUGGCUUGGACAAAUGGUUGGAGUGGGCCGACAACGCACCAAAAAUAAGCCCUAGAAAAUUCCCAUCGAUUUCACUAAAUCAUUAGUAUAAUUCGACUGCUUGAUCGGGCCCAUUUCAAAGUCCAAUAAGAAGGUUUACACCCCACGAAAGAUAGGAAUUUGCAGCUAGAAAGAGUAGAGCAGAUUAGGUUACGUGAUGAUGGCCAUAAAGUUGUUCGUAGUCCAAUAAGUGCGAGGUAUUCAAUAUAUAUAUAUUGAUCGACUCUUUGUAUUACUAUGUAAACAUGUCUAGAGUUAAAACGAUCUCACUGUGGUCAUUGAUUUUGCCCCCUUUUCUUACCCUAUAAGUGGGCAAACAAAAUUUGUUUGAUACAUAUCUUAAAUUGCAUCAUAAGCCAUCAUGCAAAAUGUAAUAACCCAAGCCAAUAUCACUAACCCUCCUAUAAGUUUCGAAAAAUUAUACAUCCAUGAGCUCCGUCGACAUGUGUAGUAAAAUUGUAGUAAGAGAUCACUCCAUUAAUGCAUACAAUAUAACUGAUCCUUACUCAUAUGCAUUACAUAGCCCACAAGGUAGUAUCGAAAGUGAAGCAUACGUUAUAUGAAAUGCAAAAAUUCACUUGCUAAGUAGCCGAUAUUACAAGAGCCUUAGGUUUUACGACGAAGAGAGAGCGGAGGAGGCAUAAGAGGAGGACCAGGUAAAUCACCCCCACGACAAAGCCGGCAAUGAGAGCGCCGGUGACCUGGUCGGAAAAGCUGGGGACUUGCCCACAAAUUGGUAGCCAACCGGCAUGGCUAUUCCCUUUCUUGCCCACCUGGCCUAUUGCCACUGCAGCUGAAAUGCUGGAGCUCAGGAGCAUUGCAAUGACCUAGGGAUGGACACAGAUAUAUAAAUAUACAUUAGGAAAGACAAUGUCAUGAAAUUUAUUUAGAACGAGAGUGAAAUGUAUGAAAUGAUUGUCUAUGAUUGCUCAAAGCGUAAACUCGACCGUUGCAAGUUGAUGUCAUCAACUCAUCAUCAUCGUAAAUGGAUGCCAGAAGCCCAAUAUAAACCCGGCUUGUUUGAGCUAAGUAAUUUAAAUAGUUAGAUUGCAAAAGUCCCACGGCGAUGUUAUCUACCCAAUCAAUGGUUCUGGAUGGAAUGAGGAUCACACAACCAUCCACAAAAGUAGUGGAAUCAGGUUAUUACAGGGCAAAGUAAAGUGAAAAGUCCGCCUUGUUUUGCUGGAAAACUGAGUCGUUUAGAUUCAUUUCGAGAGGCUACUCCGUAAAAUCAUAGGCACAAGUCGCUCGCAAUAGAAACUAUCCAAGAGGAUGAAAAAGUCACGUUAUCACUAAAUCAUGAUUGGUUUUAUCAAUUAUGUCAGUAGCGAAAUAAGUUUAGGAAAUAUAUAAAUAAAUAAAUAAAUAAAUAAAUAAAUAAAUAAAUAAAUAUAUAUAUAUAUCUUUGCUCAGAUCCUAUGUGGACAUAUAUCUUUUUCGAAACCCUUAUCAAUCAAACGUAUGGAAAUCAAUCCUAGUAAUGAUAUUUAAAUUACAAGACUUUGAACAUAUAUUCCUGUGUAGAACAAGAAAAUACAUGAAUUACAGAAUUCUGAGAUAUGUUAGAAGUUGUGUUCGAAGCUAAAAGCUCUCAUUCGCCUAUUAAUUUCUAAGUCGUAUUCAUGUUGUUUUGUAAUCGUGUAAAAGAUUAGGUGUACAAGAGUAAGUGUAAUAGUUGAAUCCUGAUAGUGUGAUUUAUCAUCUGAAAAGGAUUGGUAUUUGCAAUUUGUAACUUGUUGUAUAGAUUAUUAGUGCAAUCCAACUCGACUUAUGAUCGUUGGUAAGGAAAAUGGAAUUAGGCUUGGGAAUGAAACCAGAAUCACUAUAUAUCAUUGUGUGCACUACUUAUUUUUCUUACCCUUAUUGGCUUUAGCACUUUCCAACGAUCAUGCUGACUGAAAUAUCUGCUUGACCUAAUCUUUGCAAAAGUUGCUAACACUUUCCACAAUUUCCAUGCAACCAAUUCAGCCUCCCUCUAAGUUGUAUUAUUAGUCCCAACAAAAGGAUGUUAAUUUGACGUUUAGUGUAUCCAAGUUCCUAAACCUAAAAUCUCUAAUUCGAGAAUGGUGAAAUGCCAUCCCGCAUUUCACUUGGCCCUUAACUAGCCUAGGUUAGGUUAGUGGCUGUUUUAAAAUAAAAAUAAAAUGAUAUAUAUGGCUAAUCAUAAUGAAUCGAGUAAGCUAAACAUCACAAAUUGGUAAGAACUCACACGUGACCUAUAUAGCACCAGCACGGACAUAUGACACGCGACACGACACGACACGACACACCGACACGUCAUUUAUUAAAAAUAGAGAAUUUCGACACGUUCCAACACGUUAUAUAUUAAAUAUAUUUUUAUAUAUAAAUACAUAAAUAAAUAAUAAUAAAAAUAGCCUAGAAUUAAUUUACACAAAAAUAUUAAAUAAUAUCAUUCAUUAUUUUAAUUUGUUACAAUAAUACACAAAACUUAGAGGAAAAAAUAUUGUUUAAAGAAAAAUGCUAAAAUGAUAUUUUUAAAUUUAUUUAUUUAUCAUAUAUAGCAUUUUUUAUUUCUUCUUUCAUAGUAAAAGACUUUAAGAAAAAAUAAAACAAUUCUAAAAAAAUAAUGACCCCGUGCGUGUAUAUUUAUAGCAAUUUUAUUACUUCUUUUAUUACUUCUUUUGUGUAUAUUAUAUUUUGACCCCUCAAGUAUUAGAAAUUUUUAAAAUUGACCAAAUACGUGUCGGAAUCGCGUGUCGGAAUUCUGAAUUCGCGUGUCGGAGCGUGUCGGAGAGAGUUGACCACGUGUCGGAUUUUUCAACACUCGUUGACCGCUGUGUCAGGGCGUGUCGGAGCAUGUUGGACACGUGUCGAAGUGUCGGACACGACACGAAAGCUUCCGGAGAGUGUCCAUGCUACAUAGCACGUGACAACAUGCCGUUAGACAAGACUAGAAAUGUAAGAGUUCAAGGACUACCUAAUGGUAUGCAAUUACCUCAAGUUGGACAUCAGCGGGACUUCCGGCCUCUGAGAAUACGGGAUAUUUGGAGGCCCCGUCUAAAUGCUUCAUUAAACAAGAUUCUUAUCUGCAUCUCCUGGAUUCCCGGCAACCAUGAGAGCAAAGCCACAGGAGCCAUCACGAUAAUUCCAAACAGCAUAUCAUACAGCCGGGCCAACGAAACCACGGUGCCCCACGCCACAGUGGACUGCGAAAAUGGUCUAAGUACCCGGACAAUGGAUAUAAGGCCCCAUCCUGUGGGGACAAAUGCAAGGAGGCCCUUGACAAGGUCGAGGAAUUCGAAAUGAGUACACCCCAGGGAUACGACGAUCACAAGAAGCACGACCACAAUGACAAUAAGCUGUAUGAGACGAUAGUAUUUGUGUUCCUUAGCAGCAUAUUUAUCUCGAGCAUAUGCCAUGAUCACAUAUAUAGCGAUGGCCACACCCAUGUAUAUCCAUGAUAGCAAGUAUAUAACAACGCUAGUGUUACCCCGUGUUAUACCCAACUGAUAUACGACACCAUACUGAAAAAGGAAGAAUCGAAGGUCUAGAAUGAUCUCCCAAAGCUUGCCCCAACGUCCUGUCAUCCUCAAAUGGUCUUGUUCCUCGUACCACCAGGUCUCCCAGCUCUGGUCCGCCUUAGUAAACAUCCCUCCAUCAUUCCAUAUCCAUUUCAUGAAAUCAUUGUAAUCAAUCACGGUCUUCAGCCAAUCAAAGCCUGAAGGGUUAAAUAUAAAUGGUGACAUUAUCCACGAGACGACUAGAAACCAGCUGGAGAUGGUCAUGGGUAUGUAAAAGAAUGCGUCCUUGGCCAUGGGGGUCUGUGAGGCAUACAAUACCAGAAUAGCCCCGAGCUCGAUGGCCUUCACCAAGUGACUGCGAGCAUACAGUCGAUAGUUCUCAGCGAAGCUUUUGUACUCCACCACGAAACCACGACCAGUGGCUUGGUAUUUUGCACCCCCGUGAAGAAUAGUCCGACCAAAAUAGUGCACGCGAGUCCCCAAAGAGAAUGUGUAGAAGAAUGAGGCAAGCUGCAACUGCAUCGUAAUGAAGUCCCAAACUGCUGGGAGGAACCCAUGCUCGAGAGAGUUCUCUACAAUCAUUGGAAGAGCAGUCAAGAGGCCGAGCUGGACGGCAAACUGCUGGUUGAGAAUAGCCCCGAGAGCUUCAUUGUUGACACUAUCAUUAAUAGCUCUCCCUUCGAUGCCACUUAGAGCAAGACACAGGCGACCCCACAAAAAUGUGUAAAUGGUAAGAACCACUAUCAAUGAGUUGAAGUAGAACCCUACAGUUGUGUAGAAGACAGACAGCAUCCGGAAAAAGUCUAAGCGGUGACCCAGCCUAUACAUGUCUCUGCUCAGAACUUGCUCACCAUUGCCGCUAGCGACCUUGGCCUCAAAUUUAGAUAUCUGAUUCAACCCAACAUCCCUUCCCUUACCCACUUGAAUAUAUUCGUGGUGUGUUACAUUCCCUCCUCUCAAUGUACAGUUGAAGCCGGCAAAUAUAUCCUCACUGAUGUUGAUCACCUUGGAAGCCUUGCUUAUCCCUCCGCGGGUUAAGAACCAAAACCUAUCAAAAACAUCCGGGUGACCAUAAUGCAUACGUACCUUCAAAGGGUUCGCCAGAACACGCUGCCCCAAAGUCACGAAACUCAUUUCCUGGGAAGACAUAAACCAGGCAAGAGAGGACACCGAGCCAGAGAAAACAUUUUCACGUACACCUAAAAUCGUUGGCCUCCUGAUCCCAUAAUAUGUCUUGAAUUCUUCCAACAGAUUACGCAUUUUGAGUGCCUCCUCAAAGUAAUUGUCUUGGUUCAUGUCGAUGGUUUGGAGCGCAUCCCCCCGAGUGAAGAUUAUUGCGUGGUUCUGAUUCUCUGGCUUUCCUUCCCCAAGCAUCACAGGGCCGGGCAACUGGAUCCGGUAGAUCUCGACCUCCCUCUGCAGUUGCUGGUCGUACUUCACCAGAACGGAGUAAAAUUCUACUUCGUCCCUCCCCGAGUGAACCUCAUCAACGUAUGCGACUCGAAGAGCCUCGUUCUUCUUCAUAAGAUACAAAAUAUCAUUGGCACGCUGAUCUUUAUUUGCCUUCUGAAGGCCAUAGACCUGACAGGUGACCACAUACGUGAACUUCAUCAGGGCGUACUUAUUCUCUCUCCCCGUCAACAGAAGACUGACACCACUAGGUGCUCUAUCAAGCGUCGGUGAAGCCGGCAUGUGGACGGAAGGAGGACCAUUCAAGCUGGCAUUGGAUCUGAGUGAAUGGUGAGAAGCGAUUUUUUGUCGUCCCGUACUUAUGUCCGUCUCUGGAGCAGAGUCUAGAUCCGAAAGCAUCUCAAGAGCCCUAUAGUAGUACAUCAUCCCUCUCACGGUGCGGGACAAUGUCUGGCCCCUGUAAGAUGCCCAGAGACGCAGCUCUGUUGCCUUCAAAUUCCAAAUAUCUUCAACAUUACUCACGCCUUCUCUGCGCAUCCUUUCCAAGAAGUUUGCCCACUCAUCCUCGUAGACCUUCUGCAGAUAAAACAGAGUUGAAAUUCCAUCUUUAUUCUCUUUUCGAAGGCCGCCUUCUGCAUACAAGACAUCUUCUUUGUAAUAGGGAGUCAAUACGGUGAAAGCCAUCAUCUUUUCCACGUUAGGGGCACGAGGCAUGUUCAUGAAGAGCGAAUUGCUAAAGAAAGCAAUGCGACGCCUAGCCUCGAGAUUCACUGGGACAUUGUGCAUCGAGUCCCUGGAUGUAAGAAUUGUAUUUACCCGGCGCAGAUGUCUGUAGAAAUCAGGAUCCUCAGGAAGCUCGACAGCAUUUUCAAAGAGGGAUCCUGCAUCAGUGGCUUGGCCUUGCGGUGCCAGACCCUCCUGCUGCAAAUCUGUAUUCGACUUCUUCUCCUUUGGGAAUUCUCGAACGGAAAGUUGGUAGAGAGCCUGCAGUACAUUCACUAUCUGGCUCAUAUCUUUUGUUUGGCUCAACAGAAGCUGAAGGAGUAGGCUUAAUUUUGCAUGAAUAUCUGUAAGAAUUGUCACUUUAUGAAGUUUCGUGAUCUCCCCAUUCUGAAUAUGCAUAUCAAUACAAUCGAACAACUUCAUGACAAUAGAUUUCUCUUCGGUAUAGUCUUUGAUAAUGGUGAUGAUCAAGUACUUGAUGCUAUCAUAUGCUUCGAUAACAGCACAUCGCCGAUUCUCAUUCUUGCAAAUCUUAAACCAAAGGUACCGAUCAGAAUUUUCUGCCAAACCACUUGCCUGACUCAGGGCAAGAAGCAGUUCAUUGCAAAGGAGGGCACAGGGCCAGCGGAUUACCCUAAUGUUCCAACAGUUGGGUGGUAGCUCCAAAAGCUCAAAUUCUCCAUCACUAAUGAGAUCUUCUUCCCUGAGAACUGUAAUGAUUUCAUUCCAAAUCAAUGCAAACCUUGUCGCAUCCACUGAAUUGGAUUCUAUCAUUUUGUAGGGCUGACCAAUACCAUAACGCAGUUUCAGCCGCUGGAUCGCAUCAUGCAACUUCUUGAACCACGUCGCUUCAGCCGUUAGUAUCUGCUUCUCUGGCAUUAGAUUAAACUGUAUUGCGCCAGCAAAAAACUGAAACCUAAGCCGCAGCUGCUUGAUAUUACGUAUUUCGCCCAAAUGUGAAUACAGCCCAAUCGUCGCUCCAACAAGAGAAGAGAAGAUAGAGUACCAAAUUUGCAAGUCCAUAAGGUAUAUCAAGAUAACAGGAGUCCACAACAGUAUAACAGCCAUCCUGUUAGUUCCGCCGAAGAACUCGGGCCACUUGUACGGUGUGCCACGAAGAUCUAAAAGAGACUUUGUUGGAGCCACUAAAGGCUUGAUUUGCAGCAGAUAACUGAACGAAAUUUUGCUAACCAACACCAAAACCCAAAAGAGCGUGUACUUUAUGUUAUUCACAAGCCCUUCUCUCCUGCCGCGACCCACGAAAAUUCGAGUGUGGAACCACCAUGUAAACAGAUACAAUAUUCUCCAAUUCGACUCUUCUAUCACAAUCCGGAUCCAAGGAAGAGUGAAAAGCGCCAAGGCCAGCAACUCUGGAAUUACGUACACUAACGCAGUCUUGAGAUAUACAACGAUCCUCCGAUCAGCCUCUCGGGACCAAAUGCCAUCAGCAUUCUUCUGACUCCAUAUUCUCGCAUAGAACACCGAAAACUCAACUAUCCAAGUCACGGCAACAAGACUCUUCAACACCAUCCUCAACCCGAGAAAGAAUGUCUCUCUCGAAACCAAACUAUACUGCAUCCCCGCGUCGAGCACGGAUUGCAGCAACCUAAGUCCACUCCAGGUGAUAAACACCGUCAAUAGCUUCACCUGCACAUCCCUCCUCUCCAAUGCCUGCCAGGGGUACUCGGUCUCCUCCCAAGCGAUGAUUACCAUCGCCUGAAGCAAGAGAAUCAACAAAACCCAGAGCCUAUCGAAGCUACGGAAGACAUUCCAAAACGACCUCUGCUCCACAAACCCCGUCUUCCCCAC